rnacentral:rRNA from 1 species
GACGAACGCUGGCGGCGUGCUUAACACAUGCAAGUCGAACGGAAAGGCCUGUCCUUCCUUGUGUUGGACGGGUACUCGAGUGGCGAACGGGUGAGUAACACGUGAGUGAUCUGCCCCCAACUUGGGUAUAAGCCUGGGAAACUGGGUCUAAUUCCCGAUAGGACUGCAGGGUGGUGCCUGUGGUGGAAAACGAUUUUCUAGUGGUUGGGGAUGAGCUCGCGGCCUAUCAGCUUGUUGGUGGGGUAAUGGCCUACCAAGGCGGCGACGGGCAGCCGGCCUGAGAGGGUGGACGGCCACAUUGGGACUGAGAUACGGCCCAGACUCCUACGGGAGGCAGCAGUGGGGAAUAUUGCACAAUGGGCGGAAGCCUGAUGCAGCGACGCCGCGUGGGGGAUGACGGCCUUCGGGUUGUAAACUCCUUUCGACCGCGAGGAAGCCGCCUGGUUGGAAGGGUGGUGACGGUAGUGGUAGAAGAAGCACCGGCUAACUACGUG